GGGCGGUUGGCGCAAUGGUAGCGCGUUGGUUUUCGGUCUUGGACUCAAAUUGGUCGUAAGGGUUGAUCACCAAAGGCUGAGGGUUCGAGCCCCUUGCUGCUCG